UACGAAGGGGGCAAGCGUUGUUCGGAAUUAUUGGGCGUAAAGGGUGCGUAGGUGGCGCCGUAAGUCAGGUGUGAAAUUUCGGAGCUUAACUCCGAAACUGCAUUUGAUACUGGCGUGCUUGAGGACUGGAGAGGAGACUGGAAUUCACGGUGUAGCAGUGAAAUGCGUAGAUAUCGUGAGGAAGACCAGUGGCGAAGGCGGGUCUCUGGACAGUUCCUGACACUGAGGCACGAAGGCCAGGGGAGCAAACGGG
rnacentral:rRNA from 1 species